AACGAACGCCGGCGGCAGGCUUAACACAUGCAAGUCGAACGCCCCGCAAGGGGAGUGGCAGACGGGUGAGUAACGCGUGGGAACGUACCUUUCAGUUCGGAAUAACUCAGGGAAACUUGUGCUAAUACCGGAUACGCUCGUAAGAGGAAAGAUUUAUCGCUGAAAGAUCGGCCCGCGUUGGAUUAGCUAGUUGGUGGGGUAAUGGCCUACCAAGGCGACGAUCCAUAGCUGGUCUGAGAGGAUGAUCAGCCACACUGGGACUGAGACACGGCCAGACUCCUACGGGAGGCAGCAGUGGGGAAUAUUGGACAAUGGGCGAAAGCCUGAUCCAGCCAUGCCGCGUGAGUGAUGAAGGCCCUAGGGUUGUAAAGCUCUUUCACCGAUGAAGAUAAUGACGGUAGUCGGAGAAGAAGCCCCGGCUAACUUCGUGCCAGCCGCCGCGGUAA
rnacentral:rRNA from 1 species